ensembl:Mt_tRNA
GUUUCUGUGGUUGAGUCACAACGGUGGUUUUUCAUGCCACAGAGCUUGGUUAAAAUCCAGGUAGAAAUA